rnacentral:rRNA from 1 species
UACAGAGGGUGCAAGCGUUGUUCGGAAUUAUUGGGCGUAAAGCGCGUGUAGGCGGCUUUGCAAGUCGGGUGUGAAAUCCCUCAGCUUAACUGAGGAAGUGCGCCCGAAACUGCCGAGCUUGAAUACCGGAGAGGAUGGCGGAAUUCCCAACGUAGAGGUGAAAUUCGUAGAUAUGGGGAGGAACACCGGUGGCGAAGGCGGCCAUCUGGACGGCUAUUGACGCUGAGACGCGAAAGCAUGGGGAGCAAACAGG